CACAAAACACAAGGGGUUUGGUCUAGGACUCUCCUGUCCUUUGAUUUCCUAGGUAUAGGGGAACCCCCAGAAGCCCCGUCCCCCUAGUUGCUUCCUCUGAUCUGUGAAUUCUGGCUUCUCUAACAUUUCUGAUAUGAUGAUUCAGGAAAAAAGUGGACUUGUCAGAGAGAGGAAGGGAAGAUAAAAAUAAAAUCAAGUUAGCCAGGCCUAUGAGUUCCUCUCAUCUUAGUCAUCCCCCGCUGCCCUUCCCCAUGAACAUCCACAAUCUUAAAAAUCCCACAGCCCUGCGCAGAGUGGGAGCCAGACUUUGGGGUCCAGGUCAAGGCCAGAGGGUAAAGGGGACAUGAUUCAGCCCUGUGGGCCUGCGGACGGACGGGGGGAGUGGGGGGCCCUGCAGGCCCCCCCGCCGCCGAGGACGCAGGGCUGUGGGCUAUGAGUCCUGCCUCACCCUGCAGCCUGCACCGCCUCUGCUUCUCCAAGCGGGAGCCGCCGAGUGAUUGAUGGGCCCCAGCUUGAAUGGAAAGUCCAGAUUCCAGCAACACAGCUUAAGAGGUGAUGGUGAUUUUCGACUCAUUCCCGUUACAAACAGCCGACCUUCCUACCGAGUUCAAGUACCUUCUGCCUGGCCUGGAAGAACCGUAUCUCUCUGUCACCCUCUUCCUCUGGCCCUCACCUGCCCUCCCCUGAACAUGCAUUUUGCCUGAGAGGAGACAGAGGCGGUUGAGAUGGAGUCUUGCUAUAUGGCCCAGCUGGUAAUGCCUGGAUUCUUGAGUCCCUCCCUGGCUCAUCCCUGGGAGAAGCACCGAACCCCAUGUCUGACACCUGUCCGGAAAUGGAGCCUGCACAUUGACCCUAGGAUAUACAAAAGGAGGCCCAUGUUGAUUCAGAGGAUGAAUGAGAGGUGCUUGCAGCUUGGUCCAGGACGCCAGCGGGACCAGACAGAAGACCACAGCGACACGUGGGGAUGGCUGUUCCACAGGCAGAAAUGGGCAGCCAGGAGGAAGUCCGGGCAGCCAGCCACCCAGCUCCUUCCACAUCGUGGCCCUAGAACGGAGUCUUGA
rnacentral:lncRNA from 1 species